AAAUAAUACAAGUGUCUUGCAAAAAAUGCAUCUACAAUAAUUUUUUAGUGAUUGUUCUAAUAACCCAAAUUCAAAACUACCUAAAUAUCCCACAGUAGUGAAUUAUUUAAAUAAAUAUGGUACAAAACCCAGUAGAGAACUAUUCAGCUUUAAAAAUGUGGUUGUAGGUAAUUUAUUAAUUGAUUAUAUGAAAAAGAGCUGAAAACAAUAAUAUCCUAUUUUAUGAAAAAAAUUUAAUAAAGAGAUAUAUGUUGACAUAGGAAAUCAGAUAACUAAGAUUACUUCUGAGCAGUAAGGUCAUUUUCUUCAUUUGGCACGUCUGAAUUUUCUAAUUUUUCUCCAAAGUUUUGUACCAAGGGAAAAAUGAUAAAAGUACAUUUUAAUUUUAAAAAGUCAUUAAGCCUGUAAUAUUUUGGCUGGAUAUAAAAAGUCUUGGUGAGAGGGGGCAUGGGACUGGGGAAAAGAAAGUAGUAGCUGGGGAGGACUUGUGUCCAUGUUUAUAUUCAACACCUUCCCCGAGAACAAAAGAGACUUUUUAACCUUCUGCUAAAAGGCAGAAUCAGAAUAAAAGUAUGAUGUUGUACAGCAGGAAAUUCCAGUUCUGAAGACAGAAGAGUUUCUCUGGCAGAAGUAGAGACAUCCAAUGGGAUGAGGCUGCCUGAACACAGGGUGGGAUCCCCUUCCCGCUAUGUGAACAGCACAACUGCCCAAGAAGGCACAGGGAUCAGAGGUGGCAUGAGGGACUUCUGUGUAGGGAUGGGGUCUUGCUGUGUCACUCAGGCUGGAGUGCACUGAUGCAGUCAUGGCUCACUGCAGUCUCAAACUCCUGGACUCAAGGAAUCCUCCUGCCUCAGCCUUCUGAGUAGCUGAGACUUCAGGUGCGCGGCACCAUGCCUCACUAAUUUUUUUUAUUUUUUAUUAUUUUAUAGAAGUGAGGAUCUCAUUAAGUUUCCCAGGCUUACCUUGAACUCCUGGCUUCAUGAACUCAUUUAAAGAUUUGGCAUCCUAGCAUUAUUCAUAGAGGUCCAGACAUGACUCUCAAUUUGUUUUUUAUUUUAUAUCUCUGCUACAAAUUUUUGUACCUGUCCAUUUAAAAUCUGAGCUUUUGAAAGAACUCUGCACAACAUUCACAGCACAAGGGCAUUAAGGCAGAAGGGGAAACUAAAGGUCAGAGAAUAAGGAGUGAAUCAUUGGUGAUGAAAUACAGGCAGUAUGAAUAGCAAAUUAUGAAGAAUUUGCUGGUGAACUGUUUCACAUGUAAUAGUUCCUCCUGCUAAGAUGGUGGAUUCACUGUCACGUCUGACCCAUGUUGUUAUAACUCUUUUCCACUGAAAGGUACAUCUGUGUAAUCUAGACCAGCAGACAUUUCCUCUGACUUCCAUCAUGUACACAGUGUCCUAUAGAUUCCAAAGCUCUUUCAGAUAUGCUAUUACACUUACAUUUCCUUCCCAUUUUCUUUUUUUUUCCCCCAAUAGGAAUGGUGUUCUUAGCCUCCCAUGUUCAUAACAAUUUUUUUUUUUUUUUUGAGAUGGUGUCUCGCCCUGUU
rnacentral:lncRNA from 1 species